rnacentral:misc_RNA from 1 species
GAUAAUCAUCAUUCAUGGUUACAACAGUUGGUUGAUCUUUGUGGUUCUAUCUCUGAGAUAAGGAAGGCAUGGAGUCGUCACAUCAAAUUGUUUCCUCAGUUCAUAAGAACCAAUACUUCAUCUAAACACAUAGGUACUGAGAAGAGUUCACUGCACAACUUUACUGAGCAAAGGAAAAAUAUUUCUUAUGUCUUAGUUAAUCAGCCAUCAAAAGGAACAAGCUCUGGACAUAUGAUCCAGCUGUCCGAAGGAGAGCAGGUGCAU